GUGCCCUACGGGGGCAGCAGUGAGGAAUAUUGGUCAAUGGCCGGAAGGCUGAACCAGCCAAGCCGCGUGAAGGACGAAGGUGCCAAGCAUUGUAAACUUCUUUUGUCAAGGGACAAAAUCAGGCUCGAGAGCCUGACCGAGGGUACUUGAAGAAAAAGCAUCGGCUAACUCCGUGCCAGCAGCCGCGGUAAUACGGAGGAUGCGAGCGUUAUCCGGAUUUAUUGGGUUUAAAGGGUGCGUAGGCGGGAUAGCAAGUCAGAUGUGAAAUCCUAUGGCUUAACCAUAGAACUGCAUUUGAAACUGUU
rnacentral:rRNA from 1 species